GACUGCGGACGGAGGGCCGCUCUUCCCGCAAGGGAGGGGAGGAACUUCCGAACUUCACAGGGCAGGGUGCCGGUUUAAAGCCGUUAAGCGGCCAUAGGCCGGGAGACCGGGGCCAUAUCCCCGGCCGACGGACAGCGCCACAGAGAACAUACCGCCCGCAAGGGUAAGGGUGAAAAGGUGCGGUAAGAGCGCACCGCCCCCCCCCAAUUUUUCCGUAAGAAAAAGAGGGGGGGGGGCAGGGCAAGCCCCUCCUGAAGCAAGGCCAAAUAUGCGCUAUGGAUAGCCCGUCCCGUCCCGCCCUUUUGGAUCAACAUUGGGCCAAAAGGGCGGGACAGCGCAGAGUGGGCCGCACAAGAUAAAUGGUCCUCCAUCCCCCGCACUUUAGCCCUUUCGGAAAAAGUGCGGGGGGGGACAGAAUUCGGGGUACAGUCCGCAGUCUGAA
rfam:Elusimicrobia bacterium GWA2_51_34 gwa2_scaffold_114, whole genome shotgun sequence.